UUGAAAAUUUGAAUGCAUAUCCUGUAAAAGAUUUCCUGUAUUUUUUACUUGAGCCCAACACGAAGUCGAUGAUUUCCUAUAAUUAAAAAUCAAAUGAGUUCAGAGUAUUAUAUCUCGAACAAAGCUGAUGCGAACGACAAGCAAACUAUCUGUCAACGCCCCAUCUGUUUGUAAAUGAGGUACUAACUAACCAACCGCAUAUCCGAAUGGCCCAAAUCCUCGUAUAAGGAAAUAAAUUUCACAUUUCACUAAGUGGGCAUACUUGAAGACUGGCUAUAAAUCAAAUCAUCUAAAAGAACAAUUCGUUCAGACCAGUCUCUACUACAGUCCCCACUUGGGAAAAAAUGAGAAAUCUAGUCUGUAAUCCAGCUAUCCUGGUCUUUAAUUUUUAUUUUGUGGAGAUGUGCAUUGGUCAUACAAUGAUUACUUAUUGCUCUAUUCAUAAACAAGCAAGUUUGAAACACUCGACCUAUAUGAAACAAAUCUGUUUUGAUAUUAUAAGCCCUAUGUCAUUUGUUGGGCUACCACGAAAUCCAAUAGUUUUAGUAUUUCUGAAUGAUUACAAAUAAUUUUCAAUAUUUUCUUUGUUCUCUGCUUAAAAAAUUGUCUUAAGAAAACUUUGCCCCCAAUAUUUGGAAAAAAAUCCAGAAUUUAAUGACAAAAAUGGUGGUUAUUGGAUUCGCCCAUGUGUAUAUACAUUUUUUUAUGAAAAUUGCUGGAACAUCAUCAAGUCUGGAAGAAAAAUAUCUGUUAUGAUGGGGAUUUCUAUGUUACCAUAGCAAGUGAACACGGAGGAAAAGUAAUUGCAAAAAAAACAUUAUUGUAUUAAAUUUAUUAUAUUCAUUUUAUUUAUAUACUUUUCACACUGCUUUCUUAUUUUUAUAUUUAUGUACAUUUUUGUUUGAAAUCUCUAUGAAGAAAAAUUGUAUUGUUACCGAUCAACAUUUUUAGUUAUGUAUAUAAUAAUAAUACAUUUAUUACCCAUAAAAGAAAAAAACAGAAGAAUAUACAGUAGUGGUGGUGCUAUUAAAUGAUAUUCUGAUGAAUAAAUGGCUGGACUUAUUGGUUCAGAUAACAGUUGAAAA